UACAGGGGGUGCAAGCGUUGCUCGGAAUCAUUGGGCGUAAAGCGCACGUAGGCGGUCUGUUAUGUCGGAUGUGAAAGCCCUCGGCUCAACUGAGGAAGUGCAUCCGAAACUGGCAGGCUAGAGUACUAAAGAGGGUCGCGGAAUUCCCGGUGUAGAGGUGAAAUUCGUAGAUAUCGGGAGGAACACCGGUGGCGAAGGCGGCGACCUGGGUAGAUACUGACGCUGAGGUGCGAAAGCGUGGGGAGCAAACAGG
rnacentral:rRNA from 1 species